GAAUGCUGACAUAAGUAACGAUAAAGCGGGUGAAAAGCCCGCUCGCCGGAAGACCAAGGGUUCCUGUCCAACGUUAAUCGGGGCAGGGUGAGUCGACCCCUAAGGCGAGGCCGAAAGGCGUAGUCGAUGGGAAACAGGUUAAUAUUCCUGUACUUGGUGUUACUGCGAAGGGGGGACGGAGAAGGCUAUGUUGGCCGGGCGACGGUUGUCCCGGUUUAAGCGUGUAGGCUGGUUUUCCAGGCAAAUCCGGAAAAUCAAGGCUGAGGCGUGAUGACGAGGCACUACGGUGCUGAAGCGACAAAUGCCCUGCUUCCAGGAAAAGCCUCUAAGCAUCAGGUAACAUCAAAUCGUACCCCAAACCGACACAGGUGGUCAGGUAGAGAAUACCAAGGCGCUUGAGAGAACUCGGGUGAAGGAACUAGGCAAAAUGGUGCCGUAACUUCGGGAGAAGGCACGCUGAUAUGUAGGUGAAGCGACUUGCUCGUGGAGCUGAAAUCAGUCGAAGAUACCAGCUGGCUGCAACUGUUUAUUAAAAACACAGCACUGUGCAAACACGA
rnacentral:rRNA from 1 species